AAAAUACGGGAGGCAGCAGUGAGGAAUAUUGGUCAAUGGUCGAGAGACUGAACCAGCCAAGUCGCGUGAAGGAAGACGGCUCUAUGAGUUGUAAACUUCUUUUGUACAGGAGUAAAGUGAGACACGCGUGUUUUAUUGCAAGUACUGUACGAAUAAGCAUCGGCUAACUCCGUGCCAGCAGCCGCGGUAAUUUUU
rnacentral:rRNA from 1 species